AACGAACGCUGGCGGCAUGCCUAACACAUGCAAGUCGAACGAGACCUUCGGGUCUAGUGGCGCACGGGUGCGUAACGCGUGGGAACCUGCCCUUAGGUUCGGAAUAACUCCCCGAAAGGGGUGCUAAUACCGGAUAAUGUCUUCGGACCAAAGAUUUAUCGCCUUUGGAUGGGCCCGCGUUGGAUUAGCUAGUUGGUAGGGUAAAAGCCUACCAAGGCGACGAUCCAUAGCUGGUCUGAGAGGAUGAUCAGCCACACUGGGACUGAGACACGGCCCAGACUCCUACGGGGGGCAGCAGUGGGGAAUAUUGGACAAUGGGCGAAAGCCUGAUCCAGCAAUGCCGCGUGAGUGAUGAAGGGCGUAGGGUUGUAAAGCUCUUUUACCCGGGAUGAUAAUGACAGUACCGGGAGAAUAAGCUCCGGCUAACUCC
rnacentral:rRNA from 1 species